AAGCGGGGGAUCUUCGGACCUCGCGCUAACAGAUGAGCCUGCGUUGGAUUAGCUAGUUGGUAGGGUAAAGGCCUACCAAGGCGACGAUCCAUAGCUGGUCUGAGAGGACGAUCAGCCACACUGGGACUGAGACACGGCCCAGACUCCUACGGGAGGCAGCAGUGGGGAAUAUUGGACAAUGGGCGCAAGCCUGAUCCAGCAAUACCGCGUGUGUGAAGAAGGCCUGAGGGUUGUAAAGCACUUUUAAUCGGGAGGAAUAGCUGUCGGCCAAUACCCG
rnacentral:rRNA from 1 species